GACACCUCCACCCCACCCCACUCUUUAAUUCUGUUAUCUUAACAGCCAAAUAGGAAAGCACUCUAGGAAUAGUAAUCCUAUAAGCUUAUGGUGGUGAAGUGCUACUUUUUAUAUUACAGCUAUACUACCCUCUCUAGAUAUUUUUAUCCAUUCAGCUGCUGAGGAAUCUUGCUGCUUUACCACACGUUUUCGAAGAACCGCCCCCGAUUUCCUGGAAAUCUGUAUCAGUAAUAAUCUGCUGGUGUUACUGAUAUGUGUGACCCACCAUGGGACACUUAACUGUGCAGUGGGUGGAGUAGGUGUGCUGCCAACAGGUCUGCACGUGUACUGACUGAGGCAAUGGAGAAGUUAGCAUUGACAUUGUUGAGAGAAUAUGCUGAAGUCAUGGUUAUGCUGUUUUGUUUGAGACCAUUGCUAUAAGAGAUAGGACAUAAUUAGGGAACCUUGUGGUAAGCUGCACAAGACCUCUCCAAGGUUCUGGUGCUGCAAAAAUUGCAAAAAGAUAAAAAAUGUGUGUGGGUCUUUCCUUUGCAAUGUUGGGUGCCCAUGGGGUACGGGUACAGAGCAUACAGGGUGGUGUCUGUAGCUCCUGGCUAGAGUGCUGUGCACAGUGGUCACUAGAGACACGUGCCUGCCCCUCCGUCGGCUGAUGGACUGAACCUGCUUCUCUCCCUUUUUCUAUUCUGUCUUCAAAUCUGACUUAGCAGGGUCAGACUGGGACUCCUGCUGUAAAUGCUGUCUUCCACACAGCUUCUCCAGCCUGCUCCACUCUGCCCAUCAAGGUUUACCUCCUCGCCUUUCAUGUGUGCCUGGGACUGGGAACCCCCCUGCGCUCUGCAGCGGGAUGAAGAACAGCAAUUAAAGGAUGGCCAUAUUCCCUCAGCAGUUCCAUAACCUGCUUUUUUGAAGCAGC
rnacentral:lncRNA from 1 species